rnacentral:rRNA from 1 species
CAAAGGGGGCCGGGAAAAAGUAUGUUAAUUCGAGGCGGCAGCAAAAAAGUACCUUGCAACUUUGCAGGCGAGCGGCGGCCGGUUGAGUAAUGUCUGGGAAACUGCCUGAUGGAGGGGGAUAACUACUGGAAACGGUAGCUAAUACCGCAUAACGUCGCAAGACCAAAGAGGGGGACCUUCGGGCCUCUUGCCAUCAGAUGUGCCCAGAUGGGAUUAGCUAGUAGGUGGGGUAACGGCUCACCUAGGCGACGAUCCCUAGCUGGUCUGAGAGGAUGACCAGCCACACUGGAACUGAGACACGGUCCAGACUCCUACGGGAGGCAGCAGUGGGGAAUAUUGCACAAUGGGCGCAAGCCUGAUGCAGCCAUGCCGCGUGUAUGAAGAAGGCCUUCGGGUUGUAAAGUACUUUUCAGCGGGGAGGAAGGUGGUGAGGUCAAUAACCUCCUCGUUUGACAUUUUCCCGAAGGAAAAACACCGUCUCUGCAAGUUUC